UAGUUCAGUCGGUAGAACGGCGGACUGUUAAUCCGUAUGUCACUGGUUCGAGUUCAGU
rnacentral:tRNA from 1 species